rnacentral:rRNA from 1 species
GAUGGACGCUGGCGGCGUGCCUAAUACAUGCAAGUCGAGCGAACAGACGAGGAGCUUGCUCCUCUGACGUUAGCGGCGGACGGGUGAGUAGCACGUGGAUAACCUACCUAUAAGACUGGGAUAACUUCGGGAAACCGGAGCUAAUACCGGAUAAUAUAUUGAACCGCAUGGUUCAAUAGUGAAAGACGGUUUUGCUGUCACUUAUAGAUGGAUCCGCGCCGCAUUAGCUAGUUGGUAAGGUAACGGCUUACCAAGGCAACGAUGCGUAGCCGACCUGAGAGGGUGAUCGGCCACACUGGAACUGAGACACGGUCCAGACUCCUACGGGAGGCAGCAGUAGGGAAUCUUCCGCAAUGGGCGAAAGCUUGACGGAGCAACGCCGCGUGAGUGAUGAAGGUCUUCGGAUCGUAAAACUCUGUUAUUAGGGAAGAACAAAUGUGUAAGUAACUAUGCACGUCUUGACGGUACCUAAUCAGAAAGCCACGGCUAACUACGUG